UACGAAGGGUGCAAGCGUUACUCGGAAUUACUGGGCGUAAAGCGUGCGUAGGUGGUUGUUUAAGUCUGUCGUGAAAGCCCUGGGCUCAACCUGGGAAUUGCGAUGGAUACUGGGCGACUAGAGUGUGGUAGAGGGUGGCGGAAUUCCCGGUGUAGCAGUGAAAUGCGUAGAGAUCGGGAGGAACAUCCGUGGCGAAGGCGGCCACCUGGGCCAACACUGACACUGAGGCACGAAAGCGUGGGGAGCAAACAGG
rnacentral:rRNA from 2 species